UUGUCCGUUUUUAUAUCUCUACAAAGGCCGAAGAUGGUGCUUUUCAACGGCUCUUUGCCUUAUUGAUGCGUAUUUCCAAUCUUUGUCAAUAUAAAAAUGCACAGCUAGCAGACUCUCUUCCUUGCUGGCUCUGAUGGAGUAGCUUACUGUGAUGGAGAAGCCCACAAGGCAAGGAACCAAGGGAAGCCUCUGAAGUCCUCAUCCAACAACCUGAAAAGAAUUGAACACUAACCAUGACACAGGGAGAAGACAGCAUCUGAGAAACCAAGAAGUGGGCCCUCACCAAAUACCAAAUAUGCCAACAUCUUUAUCUUGGACUUCCCAGCCUCUAGUACUAUAAUAAAUGUUUUUGUUUAAGCAACCCAGUCUAUGAUAUUUUUGUUGUAGCAGCCAAGAAAGACACUGUAUAUAAUUUUCUGAACAAAAAUACAUUAGAAAUUAGAAUUAGAAAAAAUUUUAAAAUAUUGAAUAACAUUCCCUAAUCUCAACUGGGUAACAUAUCUCAAGACCUGUAGAAAGGAUGCUACAUCACAAAUGAUCCUCCAUACCUUAUAUCAUUUCCCUCUAAAAUAACCGUAAGAUACAGUGAUAACUGCUAAGGAAGCUGUAUCCAUCUUAUUCUUAGAAUCUUUGCGAAGAAUCUAUUAUUUUUCUAUGUUUCUCCCAUCAUUUAAGAUUUUUAAGUAGAUAAAAUUUCAUUGCAUUGCUACUUAUAAACUCAGCUACUCAUGAAAAAAAGUCACAAUAGAAACAUCAUUUAAAAAAUAGGGAAGAUAAUGCAGUUAUGAAAGAGACAAUAAGUUAUGUCACUUGUAGGCAACUAUGUUUAGGAUACAACAUGAAGGACAUUAACUCCCAAGAUUUUUACCACUGAGUAAUUGGGCAACAUAUAUUAAGUCUAAUAUAUGUGCAUUAACUUGACCCACCAAUUCCAUGUGUAAAAUAUACCCUAAAGAACUCCUAAAACACUUGUGAGACUUGUCAAGAGCACUGCUUGAUAGCUGAAAAUUGGAAACAAUGUCAGAUAAUAGGAAAUGGGUAUAUUCAUUCAAUAUAUUUAUUAAGAUGGACGUAUGCAUACUAUAUAUGUCAAGUUUAAAAAUCAGGUUAUUGAAUAAUGUAUAUCAUUCCUUUAAAAAAAUAA